CAGCCGCCACGGGAAUACAGAGGGUGCGAGCGUUAAUCGGAUUUACUGGGCGUAAAGCGUGCGUAGGCGGCUUUUUAAGUCGGAUGUGAAAUCCUUGAGCUUAACUUAGGAAUUGCAUUCGAUACUGGGAAGCUAGAGUAUGGGAGAGGAUGGUAGAAUUCCAGGUGUAGCGGUGAAAUGCGUAGAGAUCUGGAGGAAUACCGAUGGCGAAGGCAGCCAUCUGGCCUAAUACUGACGCUGAGGUACGAAAGCAUGGGGAGCAAACAGGAUUAGAGACCCCAGUAGUCCCUGUCUCUUAUAC
rnacentral:rRNA from 1 species